UACCCUUGACAUGCCCGGGAGCCCGAUGAGAGUUGGGUGUGCUCGAAAGAGAGCCGGGACAC
rnacentral:rRNA from 1 species